GUCAGAGUGCAGUGCAGACUCUCCCCUGCCCAGCCACAGGCUGCGUGGGGGAGGGGAAGCCAUGCGGCCUGGGAGAGAGACUGCAUUUUAGGGGGAUGCAGUGGUGACCCAAGGAGACCUGCUUCAGCAACCACCAGCACAGGAAUGGCAAGAACAGAGAAGAGUUGAAGAGGGUGUGGUGAUGCCCUCUGUCUUCAGGAAGAAGAUGAUCUCUGUUCUUGUUACGCACAAACUUCACCCUCUAGUUUUUGCUCAAAGCACAGCUUUAGCUACAAUAACAAAGAGGAAAUCAAUCUUUCUUGAAUCCCUAAUUUCCCAUGGAAUUAAAUGCCUCUUUCUCCUGAGAGAAAUGUUUCACCUUGUGGGUUGGGUAAUCUCUUCACUUUUCACUCUUUAACUGUUUUGAAAAAAAAAAAUAAAGCAUACAAUACUAAU